rnacentral:rRNA from 1 species
CGCGUAGGCGGUCCGCUAAGUUCGGUGUGAAAUCCCCCGGCUCACCUGGGAACGGCGCCGGAAACUGACGGACUGGAGUACCGGAGAGGAGGGUGGAAUUCCUGGUGUAGCGGUGAAAUGCGUAGAUAUCAGGAGGAACACCGGUGGCGAAGGCGGCCCUCUGGACGGAUACUGACGCUGAGGCGCGAAAGCGUGGGGAUCAAACA